ensembl:lincRNA
AGUAAUAGGCAUUUGUGAGUGACACGGACAGUCUUUGGAAGGAAAUUGCCACUGUGGUACUUUCUAUUUCAUUUUCAAGACCUCUUCCCAGCAUUCUUCCACCAAAUUUGCAGCAUAGAAUUUAUCUUUCUUACCACAUUGUGGAGACAGCAGAAACUGAGCAGAGGAGAAUUUCUGAAGCAGCAGAAUUUGAGAGCCAAGAAUAAAUUGGGGACUGACUCUUCUUUCUAGGCUAAUCAUGUGGGACAGAAACAACAGGUCAGAGAGGAGUUAAAUGGCAAGGACUGUGAGAAAGAAGAUGAGUGAAGAGGUGAAAGAAGGGAAGCGAGAGCACCCACAUGAGAUGUGUGGGGCCACACCCUUCUGUGCGGUGCUAGCAACCAGGCUCUAUCUCUCCAAACCUGGCUGCAGAGUGAAACUCAGACUUCCCAGUCAUCACGUCCCUGAUGCUUCUGCGGACAAUCCUGCAGGACCUUUUGAUUCUGAGAGUCUGCUGAUUGCUGUCAGAAACUGAAGCAAAAGUGGCAGGUGUCAAAUGUAGGACACUGCAGUUUGCAGAAUCUUAUACCUUUCUCUCUGGCAUGGUCUCCUGCAUGUAUUUUAUGACUCUUUUCUGAAAGGCACAAUGGAAGCCACAUGGAACUUGAUUUCUCCAUCAAUUCCUGAGUGGGGCUCAGCAACUCAAACCCCUUGGACUGACCUUCCCCUCUCUUUAAGGAUGGGCCAGUCUCUUCCUAUUUUACGUUAUAAAACACAAAAAGUAGAGAAAUUUUCAAAAUAUAAUAAACACUUGUGUUUCUACAACUGAAAUUGAACAGAUAUUAAUAUGUUGCCAUAUCUGCUUCAGAUCUCUAUUUUUUAAAAUAAAUCAUUUCAGAUACAGAUAAUGCCCUAUGUACAUUCUUCUCCCAUCUCUCCACUCUGUAGGAAUCUACUAACUUGGAGUUUGUGUAAUGUCCAAUUGUGUUUUGUGUUUUACUAUUUAUGUGUGUCUGUAAAUAAUACCCUAUUACAAAUAAUUUUUUCACUCAACUUUUUUCUUAUGGGAUUUUUCCAUCUUGAUAUAUGUGGGUCUAGUCUAUUCACUGUAAUUAUUGUAUAGUAUUUCACUGUAUGAAUAAAUCACAGUUUGUUAGUUCUCUGAUAAGGGACAGUUUAUUUCCAUUUAUUCACUAUUACAAGCAAUGCUAUCAAGAGAAUAUUUGAAUUUGUUUUCUUGUGCAUAUUUUCUAGACAUGGCAAUGCCUAAUGUGUCCACGAGAUAGAGGUUAGAAAGGAUAUUGCCAUAGUUUAUGUAUGGUAAGGGUGUAUUUAACUUCUUAAGAAACUGCCAAACUAUUUCUCAAGGUGUUUGUGCCAUUUUUUUUAUGUCUACCAACAGUGUAUGAGAGUUCCUGUAGCUUCAAUUCCUUACCAACAUUUGGUAAUGUGUCUUUUUAAUUUUAAUCAUUCUAGUAGGUAUAAUAAAGGUAUCUCACAGUGUGGCUUUAAUUUACUUUUCCCUUAUGACUAAUGAUGUUCAGCUUCUUUUCUUGGUGUAUAUUAUUUGUGAAAUAUCUUAAAUGUUUACCAACAUUUCAUUGGAUUACUUUCUUCUUAUUAAGCUGGAAUAAGUUCUGUACAUACUCUGGUAUAAAAUUCCUUGUAAAAUACAUGUAUUGAG